GCAUGUUUCCAGCCCGGAUUCCUGACCGGCGGUAAAGUCCGCGACUCCUGUGGAAACGCAGGACUGACAUGGUGGAACUCCAUGACCGACAGUUAAGUCUGGAUGAGAGAAGACGGCA
rnacentral:ncRNA from 2 species